AAAAAGCUGUUUGCCUCUUCUGUGCAUCCUGGAGUUGCGUGGCGUCAGGAGGCCAGUGGAAGUCUUAGUCUUACCUGUAAUAAACCAGAGUUGCUGACCUGUGGAGUCUGAGGCAACACGCAGAGUAGGAGACAGGACACCAGCCAUCUUCUGUAUAGCCCACACAGCUUGCCUAUCCUGAGAAGAGAGGCAUGAGAGAUGGCUGGAAUUUGCUUCCCUUGAGACUUCUUUCCCCGCAUCUUUCCCUAAUGAAGUAUAAGUCUAUGGGAAGAGUUUAACUAAAUGCCUGCCCUUUCACACAGGAAAUCUGUUUUCUUCCUAGUCUUCAGAUGCGCAGUGGUUGACGCCAGAGGAGAGGAGCCAGCUUAUUCCUGACUUGAAAGCAGCAGGGUGGUCGGAGUUGAGCGAGAGAGACGCCAUCUACAAAGAGUUCUCCUUCAAAAAUUUUAACCAGUUUCAGGGCCUGUGUGAUGAUGUCAAGUGAUGUUGGGGACGCUGGUGCUGCUGUCCACUGAGGAAGGGGGCUGCAGCCGAUGGCAUUGUCUUGGGGCUCUUGAUUCCGCUGUUCGUACCAGGCCGUCUGUGCCUCUGCAUGGAAUUCUGCUGCCUUACGACUGUGACAGGAACGUGGCUUCAUGUGUGUCAGAACCGUGCAGCUGGUCAUGUCCUCGCAGCAGUAGGACAGAACGGUGUCUGCAUUCCAGCAGGUUUGUUUAUGUGUGCGAGCGUUUUGUGUAGGUAUGGUAACUGGGCAUGCCUGGUGCCUGCAGCCCUCAGAAGAGGACCUCAGAUCGUCCGGGAUUAUAGUUACAGAUGACUGUGAGCCACCGUGUCAGUGCUGGGGACCGAACCUGGGUCUUCUUGGAGGAGCGGCUGGUGCUAUAACCACUAGCACCUCUCCAGCCCUUGCUGCUUCAGUCCUUGAGCUGCCUUCCACGUCGAUGUCACCCUUUACCUCGUUUUGAGGCUAAACAUUUGCGUCCUGGUGCUUUGGUGUUGACUCUUCGAAGUCAGAGCUAAAAAGGAGGAGAGGACCAGGACCUAGGAGUGGUGGGCUUUGCCAUGGCGACGGAAGCACAGGGACAGGAGGAUGAGAGUAAGUACAGCUGAGGGCUGUGCAGAAUGUCACUACAACGACUCGCCCAAGGCCCUCUGUCAGGAUAUGGAUACCUUGAGUUCAGAGGCUUGUGUGUGCCUCCCACUGAACCCAGCAUUACCUGGGUGUGUUAUUCGGUCCACUAAGGUCAGUGCCAUUAAUCCCUGGUGAGCCUAACCUUUUUCUCCUUUUUGUCCCUUAAAAGUUUCACUAGGGACUUUUGCUGCCCACCUACCCCUAAUGACAGAUGAUUUCUGAGAGUGAUGGACUUCUCUGGCUGCUAAGUGGCUCUGUGGUGGGAUGGGCAGCGGUCAGUAGUGCUGUGAGGAAUGAACUUCCCUGAACAGGGUUGAUGCCUUUAAUUUACUCAGUGUACUGGCUUCCCAGCUGCAGCCCCAGUCUGUAGUGAAUAUUGGUGAUCUGUGGGCCUGUGGUAUGCUCUUCCAAGAUCCUACAAAGUGCCAUGCUGGGGGCUGACACAGGGUGGUUUAUCUGCCAGCCAGUAGGUAUUCAUUCUCAUCCCACAUACUCUCCGACCUUAAAAAAAAAAACAAGAUUUAUUUUAUGUGAGUGCUCUCUGCAUGUACACCUGCAGGCCAGAAG
rnacentral:sRNA from 1 species